ensembl:lncRNA
AAGGAAAGUCUAGCCCAGAUGCAGCAAUGCAUGGGAAGACCACAGCGUAAGCUGCUGAAGGAGGUGGAGACAUGGUGGAACAGCACCUAUAUCAUGUUGGAGAGGCUGCACUCAGAGAGAGAAGCUGUAAGUGCAGCUAUGGCUUCUCUCCCUUGUGAAGUCACCAUGUUUACUCCAAUGGAGUUUACCGUAAUUAAGGAGUGCCUCGAUGUGCUUGGCCCAUUAAAUGAGGCUACAAUUGAAUUGUCUGAGGAAAAGAGGGUGUCAGCCUCGAAGAUUCUUCCACUAUUGAAAAUGGUCUCACUAACCCUCGGUGAACAGCGUGGUUCCAUCCACACUGACAUGGCCCAACAUCUCACCAAAUCAAUACAACUAAAGUUAAUGGAACCCCUUAGCCGCUUCCAAAUGACCAGUAUCCUGACCCUCCCUACUCUCCUGGACCCACGAUUCAAAACUCUCGGCUUCCUCACUCCAUCCAAGGCUGACGAAGCUGUGAAAAGGCUCACCACUGAGUGUAGUCAAAUAAUAAGUGAAAUACCGGUAGAAUCAUCUCCACUUCCAUCAGCAGCGAUCGAUGAAGUCCCUUCCACCUCCUCUGGUCAACUGUGGCGCCAUUUGGACGCAACUGUGCAGCAGUUGAGCAAACAAAGUAAUAGUGCCACAGCUGAUGCCAUUGUAGAGGUCCAGCGCUAUUUAAGAGAACCGCACAUCAAAAGAAAUGAUCCACUCCAAUACUGGGAAACGCACAAACUAUUAUUUCCACACCUCUACAUGUUGCCAUUGGAAUUUUUGUGUACCCCUGCAUCCUCGGUGGCAGGAGAGGUUGUCUCAAAAAAGAGAAACCGGCUAAGCCCAAAGGUUUUGGAGCAAAUCCUCUUUCUGAAUAAAUAUCAUUAGCCAA